UCCAGAUUCAACGUUCUUCGUCUGGUCCUUCUUCGUCUUUCCUCUCGUGCGCUCUGCAUCGAUCUUCCUGCUUCUCAGCCUCAUCAAAUGAGCUAUCUCAUGGCGAUCGUUAGCAGCUAUAGUUCGUGUCAUUGCUCCUGCUUCGCAAGCAUCGAUCCUUUUGCUUCCUUGGAUUACUCGUCGUUUAUGUUCGAACGAGGAAGCUUGAAGUUCAAGAAAGAGGACCUUCCGUGAUCUUUCUACAGCGAGAUUUUGUAGAUCAUUGGCACUCAAACCAGAAAGUUCUUCUCCCAACAGUUUCCUGCAAUUAUUUCAGUGGCCGACGGGUGAGAGAGACUUGUGUUGUUGCAGGAUCUUCUGUGGGCGUCACUAUAAAUUGGAACUAAAAUAUGAGGUCAAGCUUUGAAAAGAAUUUGGCAUAGUGUAGUUCAUCCAAAAGGUCUUCCACAAAAGAUGCAUCCGUUAGCCCGAGAACCUCAUGUUCUUCUACUUUGAAGGCCUAUAUUAUCAUAUAUCAAAACGUUUGGCAAGCAUUCGUUAUGUGUUCAUUAAUAAAACUGGGGAAGCAAAAAGACUUUGGCUAGGUCUAAUGAAAUAUUGGUGUAACAUUUCCCUAACUAUUUUCUCAAUCUCUAUCUUUUGGAUUGGGGGAUAAUGAUAAGACCUAAUGUUGAUAGGUUCAAUAUUGGGUUUGAGGUUGAUAGCAUGGUCCAAUACUUGGGGGGGGGGGGGGGGGGGGGGGGAAGGAUUGUAGGUUCAAUAAAGAGGUCCUCAAAUUCUACCAACAAUUUAUCAAUAAAGUGUAGUGGUUGUACCUGAUCAAACCUUCCUUGGUAAGUGUUAACCGUUAAGUAGAAUUCACCUUGCACUACCUUAUUAGGAUCCUCCUCCACUGCCACAAUAGAAAGCAAUUGUGUCAAUUGGUUCCAUUUGUUCUUGAAGACCUUCUACAACCUCCUCCCAAUAAUCAUUUUACAAGUCCUGGUCUCUUCCCCCCCCCCCCCUUUUGAGAGUCAUCUUCCUUCCUUUUCUAAAGAAACCUCUAUUCGGCUAAAAUCAAAAUUUAUGGGGCUCACUCCUUUCAUCUAGUCAACCCUUAGCACCAUGUCACAGUCCUCCAACUGUAGAAGCCUGAGAUUGGCCUCAAACUACUCCCCUUGCAUCUCCCAACAAAAACCAUUGCAAGCGGACUUGCUUAGUACUCUGUUCCUAUUAGCCAUUGUCACGCUCAAGGGUUGGGUACUCGUGAGUUGACAUUUUAACCUUCUAGUUGUGCCUUUAUCUAAAAAACUGUGGGUGCUCCUACUAUCAAUCAAAAUCACAAGGAUGUAGUCCUUCACUUUCCCUUCUACCUUGAUAAUCUUGUUGUUAGUUACCCCUUUCAAAGCAUGAAGUGAGAUCUCUCCAUUGGCUUCCUCCCUAACUCUCCACACUUACUAGUCUCUUCUUCUUCCAGUAUUUCUCCAAUCUCUCCUUCCAACAACAAUAUUUUUUGCUUGCACUAGUGUUCAAGAUAAUAUUUAUCCCCACGCCUGAAGCCCAAGCCAGCUUGUCCCAUGUGCUCAAUUAGUCUCCCUCCUGAGCUUGGUCCCCCCAAAUUCUUCACCCCUGUGCUUCCCUUAACCAACUCGCGGUUAUACCUUUUUCCUCCCUGAUUCAAGGUCCCCAAUGUCACAACCUUCUGUUGUUGCCUUUGCAUCCUCAUCAAGGCUUCCACCACCAUCUCUUGCAAUCGGGCACUCUCUUGCCUGCUCUAUGGUUCGGGGCCUUAUCAUUUUAAUCAUAGGUCUAAGAUCAUCCUUGAGACCUCUCAAGAAACUAAACACAAAAUAGGCCUCUGAAAGAUGGGGAUUGAGGUUGAUCAUUAGAGACCUCAGUUCCUCGAACCUCCGUUGGUAGGCCUUCACUUCCCCAACUUGUCUUAGUUUGUUAAACUCCUCUAUGACAUCUGUCAUACUCCUUUUCCCAAAACAUUCACACAAUUUAUUAGAGAAUUCCUCCCAAGUAUAGUUUUCUCUUACUCUAGUCCACCCCUAAAACCAGGCAUCUACCACAUCAUCAAAGUAUGCCGCGGCUAAGGUCACUCUUUGACCUUCUGGUAGUUAAACAUCCUCUUGCAUUUCCUCAACCACCAUUUGGGGUUGGUCCCCUCAAAUAUAGGGAUCUCCAUCCAGGGCAUGGGGAACCCUGGAUGAUGAAGGUUGCCUUGACCCUCCCGUCCUUUGUCCAUCAUUGCUUCUACUAAUUCUUCUCGAUCUACCUCAAUUUCAAAGGUUCCAUUCACCCUAUUCUUAUUCUACAAAAUAGGCUCUGUUCUCUCCCUACGAGGAAAAUCAGGAGCAAUCCUUACCGAAUUCUGGCGAGUGAACAUCACCAUGAAUUAUUGUAUUUGUGCUCCCAUAUCCUCUCUCAUUUGCGAGGGACCUCUGCCCAAUCUGCAUUCCAGCCCUUUGGUUGAGCUUUCCACCUUGCGAUCCAUUGCCAUGAUCGCCUCAUGGUUCUGGUUGGACCCAAUCUCCAAUUGAUCUGCCAUGUUUUGGAAUUCUGUCAUAGUCAAGCUGAUUUGCUGCAACUGCGACUUGAAAUUCUUCAUGCGGGUACCCUUUGCCAUCGUUCCAAUACUAAUAGAGCUCCGGCCAAGAAUCGAGCUCUGAUUCCGGAAUUGUCAGAAUCUGGGCUGGACAAUGAUCUCUUCCCUAAUUCUGUUUGAAUUAGGAAGACCCAAUAUAGAACAAAUGCAGGAUGAGGACAGAAAGAGAGAGAGAUGUUGAGGAAGAAAACAGAAUUCUCUUUAAUAUUCUCGAUAACCAAGCCAUGAGGGUCUUGGGGAAUUUAUACAAGUUGUCAAGAGGGUGGACACUGCCACGGCAGAUUCUACAUUCCUCUGGUUGUAACAACCUUCUGCCAUCCUCUAACCACUGACACGUGGAUACCCUCUAAGCUUAACAAACUUAUAACAGUAAAAGUUAACAGCAGUAAAUUUUUUUAAAAAUUCCCUUAAACCAUGGUCAUUCUCGUUACAGCAUUGUCUUUCUUAAGUUGUCAAUGUUAAGGAGUAGAACCUUCCAAGCAAAAAAGCCACUCUGGAUUUAACUCUCCCCCCCCCUCCGUUGCACCCCUUCUCCUUUUGCUUGAUGCAAAAGGUAAGGAGGGAACAGCUGGCUAGCUCAUCGUCAAAACAUGACUUGAUUUAUUCCUAUACUUGUCAGGCCCGGGAAAACCUGGACCCAUAGCUGUACACAUGAACCCAGCUGAGGGAUACAAGUGAGCUGGGUCAAUUUUCAAAGCCUCCCUACCCAAGUAAAGUUGCUCUCCCUUGCGUCUCUUAUGUCUUCAUGGUUGGUGCAAACACUGAAAUUGCCUCCUUUUGUUGGCACCAUACCUAAAUUGGUCCUCUAGAUCUCGUCAUUAGGAAAAAUCAAAGAAAACCAAAGUGGAAGCUAGUUCCCUAUCCUGGAGAUUGAACCUAAAAGUUGGUAAACGCACAGUGUUCCCUUUGUCAAAGGGAAAGAGUUCUUUACAAAAGCAUCUGUAUUUGAAGCAAUCUUCUAUUUGACACAAUCUCAAAGAGAUUCAGCAAAACCUUGCAAAGAUGAUUUCAAUGCACAAGAUGACGAAUAAAGUUAUUAGUUUAUUUCUUUAGGAUUUCUUUUUAUUAUUGGUCAUUGUACUGAAUUUUGUUUUAGUUAAAGACACUUGGUAUAGUAUAUUAUUUACAGUAGAAUUUAAGUGGUAUUGGACUAUUGUAUCAGGUAGAGUUUUAGGUAUUGUAGGAGUCUCUAUGGGCCUGUAAAUUUAGCUUUAGUCAGGUGAGAUGAAAAAUAUAUUUUUGAGGAUGAAAAGAAGUUAAAAUCUUUGGAUGAGUCUAUGCUCUAUGGCUCCCCUUCCCCUCUUCUUUCCACUUUCUGUAUUCUGUUUCACUUGUUCUCUUCUGGUUUCUCUCCUUAUUCUCUCCUUCCCUUGAUGCUGGCACAUCCAACAUGCAUGGAGUGGCGGGAGAGUAGAGUGUGUGCGGUAACUUAUAGGUCAGUUUAUGUGUCAAUAUGUACAGAUAAUUUUCCUAUUAAAUGUGAAUAGUUAAAAGUCUAUAUGUUUCUCUUUCCAAAGUCUAUAUGUGUCAAUAUGUACAGCUAUUGAUCUGCCAAUGAUCAACUGUUCUCUGGUUUUACUAAGCAAAGCUAAUGGAUCUAAACUAUGAUAUCCUUGUUACUUGGAUCUAUUGAAAAUUUCAUUGGAAACUGUUUGUAAUGUAAUUGUUUGCAAAUAUGAAGCAAACAACUAUGCUGUGUUUUUCUUCAAGCACCAUCUUUUGAAAAUGUGCAGGAGUGACUCCAUCCGAUCCAUUCCCAUCUCUGCAAUAGAGGAGCAAAAGCUCACUGAUGAUUCUUAAUUUUUGGGAGGAUCCAUAACUUUAACCAUAAAGCAAGCUGGAUGUAGGGUUUAAGGAUUCUAUGAAAUCCAAAUGGUUCUCAGGGCAAGUUAUUUCAUUGUUUGAGACUAGUGCAGGCGUUGGUCAAGGAGAGCAGCCUAAGGCAAGGUAAACCAUAAUAAUACCUAUUUGAGCAACCAGUUUAACAAUUUCCAGAAAAGUUAUCUGAAAGACUGAAACUAGGAAAAUGGGUGCCUUGUAGAUGUAUGUAUAGCAAGGGGUCACUUCGGAAGAAAACUAAUUUAUAGAAUUAGAAAGGCAUCUCUCUGAUACUUGCUUUAUUAAUUUGUCACUGAUAUUGAACAGACCCCUUUAAGCAUCAAAGCCAUUUGCUGGCUUUGUUAUGAAAACGACAUACAGUCAAAUGGCAUAAAAUAAUGAAGCAUUUUUUUAUUUUAUAUCAUUGACAAAUUAACAAAGCAUCAAAGCAGCAAAUGGCAUAAAAAUAAUGGCGUAUUUUUUUAUCCAUGAUAUGCUUCCGUAAUUACUGUAAACGACAGUGAUAAUUAAUAUGGCAUUCAAAGCUGCACAAUAUCACAAGGAAGAUAGAAAUGAAGUGAUCCUAUUACAUGAGUAUGAGCCGAAGACUGGAUGAUGUCAUAUGGAUUUGACUCUUGCUGGUAAAGAUUUUAUAGUAUCAGCAACUGUUAUGUUUAUGCAAGAGGAAGCAAAUAUACAAUUAUACAUGCCUGAUGCUUCUACCAAUGCAGAGGGGGAAAUGAAGAGCAAUCGUUUGUGGAAGAGAUUACCAUGACUUCUGAAGUAGGAGUCGUCAGCCGACUCUGUUCCUCUUUCAACUUUUUGUAUCGUUCUAUCACAGAUUUCAUGCUGAUGGAGAAACGAGCCAAACAAUGUUAUCGCCUUUCAUGUAUAUAUGCUUUUAUUAUGCGUAUGAAUUUGACUGUAUGGCAGGAAAUUCAGAUUGACAAUAACAAGCUUCCAUGUGAGAGAGAGUUGAAAGACUGUUAUCAUUUUUUCA